UACGUAGGGUGCAAGCGUUAAUCGGAAUUACUGGCGUAAGCGUGCGCAGGCGGUUGUGCAAGACAGAUGUGAAAUCCCGGCUCAACCUGGAACUGCAUUGUGACUGUACGGCUGGAGUGCGGCAGAGGGGAUGGAAUUCCGCGUGUAGCAGUGAAAUGCGUAGAUAUGCGGAGGAACACCGAUGGCGAAGGCAAUCCCCUGGGCCGCACUGACGCUCAUGCACGAAAGCGUGGGAGCAAACAGG
rnacentral:rRNA from 1 species